GACGAACGCUGGCGGCGUGCUUAACACAUGCAAGUCGAACGGAAAGGCCCCUUUGGGGGUACUCGAGUGGCGAACGGGGGAGUAACACGUGAGUAACCUUCCCUUGACUUCGGGAUAACUUCAGGAAACUGGGGCUAAUACCGGUAAGGAAUCCUUGCUGCAUGGUGGGGGUUGGAAAGCUUCGGCGGUUUUGGAUGGACUCGCGGCUUAUCAGCUUGUUGGUGGGGUAGUGGCUUACCAAGGCGUUGACGGGUAGCCGGCCUGUGAGGGCGACCGGCCACCUUGGGACUGAGAGACGGCACAGGCUCCUACGGGAGGCAGCAGUGGGGAAUCUUGCACAAUGGGCGGCAGCCUGAUGCAGCAACGCCGCGUGCGGGAUGACGGCCUUCGGGUUGUAAACCGCUUUCAGCAGGGGCGAAGCUUGUGGUGACGGUACCUGCAGAAGAAGCACCGGCUAACUACGUG
rnacentral:rRNA from 1 species